UCUUGACUAGUAUAUCGGUUAGUACACGCGCUUGUCAUUCUUGAGGUAUGCGUUUGCGCGCGAAAGCUGGGUUCGACUCCCAGGUCGAGAG